CAGUAGCCGCGGGAAUACCAGCACCUCGAGUGGUCAGGAGGUUUAUUGGGCCUAAAGCAUCCGUAGCCGGUUGUUUAAGUUUUCGGUUAAAUCUAUGCGCUUAACGUAUAGGCUGCCGAAAAUACUGGACAGCUAGGGAGUGGGAGAGGUACACGGUACUCAAUAGGAAGGGGUAAAAUCCUUUGAUCUGAUGAUGACCACCUGUGGCGAAGGCGGUGUACCAGAACACGUUCGACGGUGAGGGAUGAAAGCUGGGGGAGCAAACCGGAUUAGAUACCCGGGUAGUCCCUGUCUCUUAUAC
rnacentral:rRNA from 1 species